rnacentral:lncRNA from 1 species
AUAAGAAACUAGUAUGAAUAUUGAAUCUAUUCAACAUAAUUAUUUAUUCACAUUUUUUUAAAUUAUUAUUUUUUCUUUUUUUAGAAAUAGUGAUAUAUAUAUUUAUGUUCAUAUUAUCUUCAAAUUGCUCAGAGCAUUAAUUGUAAAAACUAGAAGUUGAUGUAAAUAUAUUUUGGUUUACUUUUUCACUGACUGAACUUUAGAAACAUUGUUUUCAUUAUAAGAACAAUAUCCAGAGAAAGUAAUUCAAGCUUAGGAACUGCUUUCACUGGAUAUUUUGAUUCUUGGGAAUCUACAGAGACCAAGUAGUAUUCAAAACCAAAUUCUUCUUUUGUCUUCCCCUAUCAAGCUGUGAAGUUGCAGUUCUUAGAGCUGGGCAUGCCUCAGUAGGAUUAAGAGUGUAAAAUCAAAGAAAAAUUCAAGAGUUCUGACAAACUACAUGGUGGAAAAAGGAGGCAUCAUUUUCUAUAGAAAAACCUACAGUGUAGAUAUUGAAAAUAGCACUGGAAAAAAAAUAUGAGCAAUGCUGUUCUGAGUCAGAGCCAUUCUUAAUAUAAACAUUAUCAGCAUAGUCCUAUGCACUUCAGAGAACUUCGGCAGGGAUUCAUAAUGGAUGAAUACAAUCCCACAGAACUGUCUGCAAACAAGGAUUAUAUGACCUCAUAAUGCUGAAAAACUUUAGGGAAGAAGAUUGACUGCAAAGAGACCAUGAGGGCUCUGUUUUAUUGCAUGAACACAACAAACCUCACAAUUUGUUCUAGGCAGACCUCAGAAGUCCUUGCGCUAAACAGGUUCUUGCUGGAGUGGGCAGAACAGUGCAGAAUCUCCCCUGAUACAGAAGUAACAGCACAGAGCGAGGAGAGGAAGGGGACAAGAAAUAAAGAAUGCUCCAGGAAUGGUGCUCAGCACAGGAGUGUUUCUGAAGUCUCCAUAUGGUCUUGA